rnacentral:rRNA from 1 species
GACGAACGCUGGCGGCGUGCUUAACACAUGCAAGUCGAACGGAAAGGCCCUGCUUUUUUGGGUUGCUCGAGUGGCGAACGGGUGAGUAACACGUUAGUAACCUGCCCUUGACUUUGGGAUAACUUCAGGAAACUGGGGCUAAUACCGGAUAGGAGCUCCUGCUGCAUGGUGGGGGUUGGACAGUUUCGGCGGUUGGGGAUGGACUCGCGGCUUAUCAGCUUGUUGUUGGGGUAGUGGCUUACCAAGGCUUUGACGGGUAGCCGGCCUGAGAGGGUGACCGGCCACAUUGGGACUGAGAUACGGCCCAGACUCAUAAGGGAGGAAGCAGUGGGGAAUAUUGCACAAUGGGAGGAAGCCUGAUGCAGCAACGCAGCGUGCGGGAUGACGGCCUUCGGGUUGUAAACCGCUUUCGCCUGUGACGAAGAGUGAGUGACGGUAAUGGGUAAAGAAGCACCGGCUAACUACGUG